UUUUUGGAGAGUUUGAUCCUGGCUCAGGAUGAACGCUGGCGGUAUGCCUAAUACAUGCAAGUCGAGCGGAAACACUUCGGGUGUCGAGCGGCGGACGGGUGCGUAACGCGUUGGAAUCUGCCCCAAACUGAGGGAUAAGCCAUCGAAAGAUGGUCUAAUACCGCAUAUGGUCUACGGAUUAAAGCCUUCGGGCGGUUUGGGAGGAUCCUGCGUAAGAUUAGCUUGUUGGUGAGGUAAUAGCUCACCAAGGCGAUGAUCUUUAGCUGGUCUGAGAGGAUGAUCAGCCACACUGGAACUGAGACACGGUCCAGACUCCUACGGGAGGCAGCAGUAGGGAAUUUUCCACAAUGGGCGAAAGCCUGAUGGAGCAAUACCGCGUGCCGGAUGAAGGCCUUCGGGUUGUAAACGGCUUUUAUGAGAGAAGAUUAUGACGGUAUCUCAUGAAUAAGCCUCGGCUAACUCCGUGCCAGCAGCCGCGGUCAUACGGAGGAGGCAAGCGUUAUCCGGAAUUACUGGGCGUAAAGAGAUGCGUAGGCGGUUUUGUAAGUAAGCAAUGAAAUCAUGAGGCUCAACCUCGUGGCUGUUGCUUAAACUACAAAACUAGAGAUCAAGAGGGGUCACUGGAAUUACUAGUGUAGGAGUGAAAUCCGUAGAUAUUAGUAGGAACACCAAUGGCGAAGGCAGGUGACUGGCUUGAUUCUGACGCUAAGGCUCGAAAGCGUAGGUAGCGAACGGGAUUAGAUACCCCGGUAGUCUACGCCGUAAACGAUGGAUACUAGCUAUUGGGAGGUAUCGACCCCUUCCGAAGCGAAGCUAACGCGUUAAGUAUCCCGCCUGGGGAGUACGGUCGCAAGAUUAAAACUCAAAGGAAUUGACGGGGACCCGCACAAGCGGUGGAGCGUGUUCUUUAAUUGGAUGAUAAGCCAAGAACCUUACCCAGAUUUGACAUCCAGGGAAAGCUCUCGAAAGAGAACUGUGCCUUUUGGAACCCUGUGACAGGUGUUGCAUGGCCGUCGUCAGCUCGUGUCGUGAGAUGUUAGGUUAAGUCCUUCAACGAGCGCAACCCUUAUGGUUAGUUGUAUUUUUCUAACCAGACUGCCUCGGUAACGGGGAGGAAGGAGAGGAUGAUGUCAGGUCCGCAUUGCCCUUACAUCUGGGGCUAGAAACGCGCUACAAUGGCCGGUACAAUGGGCAGCCAAGUCGUGAGACGGAGCUAAUCCCAUCAAAGCCGGUCCCAGUUCGGAUAAGAGGCUGAAACUCGCCUCUUUGAAGUCGGAAUCGCUAGUAAUCGUAGGUCAGCACACUACGGUGAAUACGUUCCCGGGUCUUGUACACACCGCCCGUCAUGGCACGAAAGUCGGUGGUGCCCGAAGUCUGAGUUCGCUCGGCCUAAGGCAAAACCGGUAAUUGGGCUAAAGUCGUAACAAGGUAUCCGUACCGGAAGGUGCGGAUGGAUUACCUCCUUUCUA
rnacentral:rRNA from 1 species